rnacentral:rRNA from 1 species
UUCUGGAGACAGAUUUCGUUCCCUUCGGGGACCUAGUGACAGGUGCUGCAUGGCUGUCGUCAGCUCGUGUCGUGAGAUGUUGGGUUAAGUCCCGCAACGAGCGCAACCCUCGUCCUUAGUUGCCAUCAUUAAGUUGGGCACUUUAAGGAAACUGCCGGUGAUAAGCCGGAGGAAGGUGGGGAUGACGUCAAGUCCUCAUGGCCCUUACAGGCUGGGCUACACACGUGCUACAAUGGCAUCUACAGUGGGCAGCUAUCCCGCAAGGGUGCGCUAAUCUCCAAAAGAUGUCUCAGUUCGGAUUGUCCUCUGCAACUCGAGGGCAUGAAGGCGGAAUCACUAGUAAUCGCGGAUCAGCAUGCCGCGGUGAAUACGUUCCCAGGCCUU